rnacentral:rRNA from 1 species
GACGAACCGAGCGAACGUUGUUCGGAAUCACUGGGCUUAAAGGGCGCGUAGGCGGGUGUUCAAGUCCGUGGUGAAAUCCUCCGGCUCAACCGGAGAACUGCCUCGGAUACUGGACGUCUCGAGUGUGGUAGGGGUAUGCGGAACUAUCGGUAGAGCGGUGAAAUGCGUUGAUAUCGAUAGGAACUCCGGUGGCGAAGGCGGCAUACUGGACCACAACUGACGCUGAGGCGCGAAAGCCAGGGGAGCAAACGGG